CCAGCGCGGACCAAAAUAUGCAACACGGUUCUUUUAUUUACACAAAUCCACAUCCCUGGCCAUCAAAAUCAGACUGUUGUGUUUACGUUCGUUUGGUUUUUACUAAACUAAAUAAUACUUGAGUCAGUAGUUCUCUUGCAUCAGCUAUCCAAAAUACCGAGUUAUGUUGACGGUUACUUACCCGAGAGACGCGUGGGUCUACACUACAGGUACAUCAUCCACUGACGGGUAGCCGUCAGAUCAAAUCUGAAACGGUAUUGCAGUUGUUGAGCUGAAUGAAAAAUAAUGAUUAUCUCUAGCUAGCUCAAUCUCCGACUCGGGGACGGUAUUUAUCACGCAGCGCUAGCGCCUAGCUAGGCUGUGCCUUUGAGUUUGACAAAGCAACGUACCGGCCCGGGUGCUAGGGCCCGUGUGACGGACAGAAGCAUGCCGAGUUCAAAGUCUGCCCCUACACCGGCUCACGGCACCGGUAACCACGGGGACGUGUCAACAGAGCGAGAUACACGUCACUGUCCAGUCAUCAGUGUACUCAGUACGUACAGUGAUAUGUUCCAGGCACUGUAUCUGUGGAUAAUGUUCUUCUGUGUCUGGCUCCCAUACAAAUUGUUCUUGCGCGUACCGUCCACGAUUGUUGCUGAUCAUCCAGGAGCACGGAUGUACCUCGUUGGAUCAGUAGCCGCUCUCCUCAUUGCAUUGCUAACUGCACCACUAAGUACAUUCUGGUAUGUGCUAGUCACAGUGCUGGCUAUUCCUUACAUCCCUCUCCUCGUUGGGGUAUGCUUCAUCAACACAAUGAUCCUCUGUGUGCAAGUCCGAUGUGUGUCCAGGACCUACGACUCGUCGCACUGCUUCUGGGUGGCACACUGCCAUUGCAAGGAAUGCAACGGUGCGGUGGUGGGCAUUGUACGGGCCAAUAGGUGUAGCAGCCACAUGAUGGAACUGGCAAGCAUGUACGUUAGUCCACACAUGCGUGGUCAAGGUCUUGGUUGGAAGCUGAUGGAGAAAGUGACCAGGUUUGCCAGGGCUGGUGGCUGCAGUCAUGUGACAUUGUUUACCAGUGAACAAUUCGAGAAAGCUGUACCCAUGUACAUCAAAUAUGGCUAUAAAAUAACUAGCCGUGACCCAUUCCCCUGGAAAUACAUGGCACCUGUCACUCAUAAUCUGUUAAUGGAGCGGAAAGUGUAGAUGAUAAGACGUUGGGUUAUUUAUUUUGCUCCACUAGUGCACCAGCUAUACUUCGCAUAGAAAGUUCUGCCAGAGGAUUGCAUAGCGUGAAAUUCGAAUAUCAAUGAAUCCUUGUUCCACGUCAGUUCUAUGUGAGGAAGCUUUGCUCCUUGUGGCGUUGAGAAAUGUGCGAGCAGAGGAAUAAUUAUACUGUUAGCUUUGGACUCGUAUAUUAAAUUAUGGAUGAGAUUUUUCAAUCAUUUUUGGUCUUUGACCACUCUGGUGGUGGGUCUCAUCUACUCACCUCCCAUCGCCGCUUUAGGAGCUGCAUCUGCACCUUCAUUCUUGAGGGUGAUGGUGUUCAUGCGGAUGUUUAUGACUCGGUGUAACAUUCAUUCAGUCAAUUUUCUACAGACUUUCGCGUUUUCAUUCCCUGCAACUGAUGAAAAUUCAAUACUUACAUUGAUAGCUGUCCAUGACAUGACAGUGUUAGUUCUGGGAUUUGUGACUCUGAGUUUGCGUCCGUUGUGAUCCUGUCUGUCUGGUUUUGGGUUUCACUGACUGCACAUUUGAUCAUGUUGUUAUUUAUCUCUAUUCCAUGAUGUUUGUGACUAUCUCUGUAACGCAAGCAAAAAAACAAGCUCCAUUCCUGGUUCAGUUUA